rnacentral:tRNA from 2 species
GCCGAUGUGGUGGAAUUGGUAGACACGCUAUCUUGAGGGGGUAGUGAGCCUAGCUCGUGCGAGUUCGACUCUCGCCAUCGGCACCA